GUAUGCGAUCAUACCAGCACUAAAGCACCGGAUCCCAUCAGAACUCCGAAGUUAAGCGUGCUUCGGCGAGAGUAGUACUAGGAUGGGUGACCUCCUGGGAAGUCCUCGUGUUGCAUUCC
rnacentral:rRNA from 1 species